rnacentral:rRNA from 1 species
CAGUCGCCGCGGUAAAACGGAGGGUGCAAGCGUUACUCGGAAUCACUGGGCGUAAAGGACGCGUAGGCGGAUUAUCAAGUCUCUUGUGAAAUCUAACGGCUUAACCGUUAAACUGCUUGGGAAACUGAUAAUCUAGAGUAAGGGAGAGGCAGAUGGAAUUCUUGGUGUAGGGGUAAAAUCCGUAGAGAUCAAGAAGAAUACCCAUUGCGAAAGCGAUCUGCUGGAACUUAACUGACGCUAAUGCGUGAAAGCGUGGGGAGCAAACAGGAUUAGAUACCCCCGUAGUCCCUGUCUCUUAUAC